AAACCAACUGGGAUUGCCUUAGUAACGGCGAGUGAAGCGGCAAAAGCUCAAAUUUGAAAUCUGGUACCUUUGGUGCCCGAGUUGUAAUUUGGAGAGUACCACUUUGGGACUGUACUUUGCCUAUGUUCCUUGGAACAGGACGUCAUGGAGGGUGAGAAUCCCGUGUGGCGAGGGUGUCAGUUCUUUGUAAAGGGUGCUCGAAGAGUCGAGUUGUUUGGGAAUGCAGCUCUAAGUGGGUGGUAAAUUCCAUCUAAAGCUAAAUACAGGCGAGAGACCGAUAGCGAACAAGUACAGUGAUGGAAAGAUGAAAAGAACUUUGAAAAGAGAGUGAAAAAGUACGUGAAAUUGUUGAAAGGGAAGGGCAUUUGAUCAGACAUGGUGUUUUGCGCCCCUUGCCUCUCGUGGGCUUGGGACUCUCGCAGCUCACUGGGCCAGCAUCGGUUUUGGCGGCCGGAAAAAACCUAGGGAAUGUGGCUCUGCGCCUCGGUGUAGAGUGUUAUAGCCCUGGGGAAUACGGCCAGCCGGGACCGAGGACUGCGAUAC
rnacentral:rRNA from 1 species